UAAAAUAAUAAGCUUAAUUCUCUAAUGUCAUUAGAAUAAUAAGAGAGAAGCGGAGGAACCAACUAGCCAGCAAUGGCUUGGGGUAAGUCUCCAGAAAUGGAAUAGGGCUACCCGGCCCGAACCCGACAGCUAACUUCGUAAGCGUAAUAGGGAGGAUAU
rnacentral:sRNA from 2 species